rnacentral:rRNA from 1 species
UUGGAGGGCAAGUCUGGUGCCAGCAGCCGCGGUAAUUCCAGCUCCAAUAGCGUAUAUUAAAGUUGUUGCAGUUAAAAAGCUCGUAGUUGAACUUCGGGAUUGGCACAUCGGUCGUGCCUUAAGGGGCAUGAACUGGUGUAGCCAAUUUCUCACCUUCUGGAGAACCGCGAUGUCCUUAAUUGGGUGCCGCGAGGAACCAGGACCUUUACUUUGAAAAAAUUAGAGUGUUUAAAGCAGGCAUUUUGCUUGAAUACAUUAGCAUGGAAUAAUAAAAUAGGACGGAUGAUUCUAUUUUGUUGGUUUCUAGGACCACCGUAAUGAUUAAUAGGGAUAGUUGGGGGCAUUAGUAUUCAAUUGUCAGAGGUGAAAUUCUUGGAUUUAUUGAAGACUAACUACUGCGAAAGCAUUUGCCAAGGAUGUUUUCAUUAAUCAAGAACGAAAGUCAGGGGAUCGAAGACGAUCAGAUACCGUCGUAGUCUUAACCAUAAACUAUGCCGACUAGGAAUCAGACGAUGUUAAUUUUUUAAUGACUCGUUUGGCACCUUACGGGAAACCAAAGUGUUUGGGUUC